rnacentral:lncRNA from 1 species
UGAGAAACACAACUUUUAAUGAUUUAGUAGGCAGUGAGAUAUUCCCAAACUAGUAAAUUAGAAUUUUUAUAUUUUGUGGAUCCACACCUAAAGAAAAGUAAACAAGUCAAAAGAAUUGAGGAGUGCAUGCCUCACAAAAUUUAAGACAGUGCUAUGAGUCGUGCGUCUCACGCAACUGAAUCAAUCGACUAUUAAAACUGCAUCACAAUCAGUGCUUUGAAGCCCAUUUUUGCUCCCCUCAGUGUGAGGCGAAGCUCAAUUGGGUUUUCCUAAACCAGCCAACCUAUAUUGUCAUCUUCCUCUUUUUCUUUUACUUCACACAGCCAAGCCCAUAAUUCGGUUUAAUUCUUUAUUCUGAGCCGAUAUACAGGUUUUCACCAAUGGGAAUGGUGGUUAGAGGGAUUUGUGUCAGAAUAAAAGUCAACGGUGAGAUGUGAUGAUUUUAGUAGCAGCUGGAGAUCAAUUUCUGGGUAGUGACAGAGUGCAUUGUACCAUUCUCUGUAUCUGACAAAUGUAGAAAGAAAAACAUGUUUGUGAUCCCACUACAUACAAUU